ACUCCUGCGGGAGGCAGCAGUGGGGAAUAUUGGACAAUGGGCGCAAGCCUGAUCCAGCCAUGCCGCGUGAGUGAUGAAGGCCCUAGGGUUGUAAAGCUCUUUCACCGGUGAAGAUAAUGACGGUAACCGGAGAAGAAGCCCCGGCUAACUUCGUGCCAGCAGCCGCGGUAAUACGAAGGGGGCUAGCGUUGUUCGGAUUUACUGGGCGUAAAGCGCACGUAGGCGGACUAUUAAGUCAGGGGUGAAAUCCCGGGGCUCAACCCCGGAACUGCCUUUGAUACUGGUAGUCUUGAGUUCGGGAGAGGUGAGUGGAAUUCCGAGUGUAGAGGUGAAAUUCGUAGAUAUUCGGAGGAACACCAGUGGCGAAGGCGGCUCACUGGCUCGAUACUGACGCUGGGGUGCGAAAGCGUGGGGAGCAAACAGGAUUAGAAACCCGAGUAGUCCCAUGA
rnacentral:rRNA from 1 species